UACAGAGGUCUCAAGCGUUGUUCGGAUUCAUUGGGCGUAAAGGGUGCGUAGGCGGCGCGGUAAGUCGGGUGUGAAAUCUCGGAGCUUAACUCCCGAAACUGCAUUCGAUACUGCCGUGCUUGAGGACUGGAGAGGAGACUGGAAUUUACGGUGUAGCGGUGAAAUGCGUAGAUAUCGUAAGGAAGACCAGUGGCGAAGGCGGGUCUCUGGACAGUUCCUGACGCUGAGGCACGAAGGUCAGGGGAGCAAACGGG
rnacentral:rRNA from 1 species